ACACUAGUGACACAGCCUCUAAGAAAUUUUUAAUGUCCUCCACCCCGCACGGGGCCUGCAGAAGGUGAGGGAAUAAAUACAAAAGGUUAAGAUGCGGCAUGUCCAGCCCCCCGCCUGCGAAGGAUGGGGGGACGCUUGUGCGCCGCGAUUUCCCUCGUCUGCAAACCGGGGCAGGACACGCUGUGAGCCUCGAAGCUCUGAAAGGAACAGUGUUUUCCAGCGGUCUGUUAACCCCUUGCAAAGGGGAGUCCCUGCACUCCCCGAGUCCUCGGGCUCCGGGAAGGCGUUCCUUCUCCCGUCCACUAGAGCGCGCCAGAGUCCACGCAAGAAGGCGCCAAAGGACCUACUCGCCCCAUCCCAGGGUGUGCGUCACCCACAGAGGGUCCCAGAACCCUGCCCAGGAAGUGACAUGCCCGGAGAUGGGGCUCCUGAGAGAUGCCCACCCACCCAAGUCCUCAAUCCCCCGGUUUCUUCACCUUUUCAUCCACCCUGGCAUCCCAAAUGGCCGUUUUGCUCCUUCCCUUUCGAAGGAGCUGAUGGAGUUGGAAGACUGCAGAGACAAGUAUCCCAAGAAUAUGCAGUUGGGGGACCCAAGGCCAAAGAAGGGGAAGAGAGUCCCUGAAGUCAGCCUGGGUGGCUGCUCUGAUAAAUCACGUCACAGUGCUCAAUGCCUGUGUACUAAAAGCACAAGGUGAAUUACGAGUUUGGGAGCCCUAGACUUGGUUCUGCUACUCUCUCCCUGGUGGGUUAUCUAUAAUAGUAUUUUAAUCCGCGCAACCUCUCUGAGCCUCAGUUUCCUCAUUUGUAAAAUGGGGAUCGGAACAGUCUUGGGCCUCACAGGGUUGUCUCAAGGAUGUAACAUGUAGAAGGUUCAGUGCUUAAUAAACAGAAGACUUCAUGA